AGUGAACGCUGGCGGUAGGCCUAACACAUGCAAGUCGAACGGCAGCACAGGAGAGCUUGCUCUCUGGGUGGCGAGUGGCGGACGGGUGAGGAAUACAUCGGAAUCUACUCUGUCGUGGGGGAUAACGUAGGGAAACUUACGCUAAUACCGCAUACGACCUACGGGUGAAAGCAGGGGACCUUCGGGCCUUGCGCGAUUGAAUGAGCCGAUGUCGGAUUAGCUAGUUGGCGGGGUAAAGGCCCACCAAGGCGACGAUCCGUAGCUGGUCUGAGAGGAGAAUCAGCCACACUGGAACUGAGACACGGUCCAGACUCCUACGGGAGGCAGCAGUGGGGAAUAUUGGACAAUGGGCGCAAGCCUGAUCCAGCCAUACCGCGUGGGUGAAGAAGGCCUUCGGGUUGUAAAGCCCUUUUGUUGGGAAAGAAAUCCAGCUGGCUAAUACCCGGUUGGGAUGACGGUACCCAAAGAAUAAGCACCGGCUAACUUCGUGCCAGCCGCCGCGGUAA
rnacentral:rRNA from 1 species